rnacentral:rRNA from 1 species
UACGUAGGUGGCAAGCGUUGUCCGGAAUUACUGGGUGUAAAGGGAGCGUAGGCGGGGCAACAAGUUGAAUGUGAAAUCUAUCGGCUCAACCGGUAGGCUGCGUUCAAAACUGUUGCUCUUGAGAGAAGUAGAGGAUGGCGGAAUUCCUAGUGUAGCGGUGAAAUGCGUAGAUAUUAGGAGGAACACCAGUGGCGAAGGCGGCCAUCUGGGCUUUUUCUGACGCUGAGGCUCGAAAGCGUGGGUAGCAAACAGG